GGGGGUUUAGCUCAGCGCAUAAGCACCUGCCUUGCAAGCAGGCAGUUGUGAGUUCAAUCCCCACUACCGAUA
rfam:Cavia porcellus supercont2_10 genomic scaffold, whole genome shotgun sequence.